GUGCAGCUACCUGUGUGAUUGAAUUCCUCUAUCAUGAGUUCCGACUGAAUUAAGGUUAAGGUGAACUCAUCAAACCCAAUAUCAAUCAUAUGAAUCAAUCGAUCGAUCUGAGUCCGAUGUGCAACCCUAAUGAAAAAUUCUUUUCCAUUAUUUCACUCUACCGUGGCCAUGGGCUUAAGGGCUCGAUCUUUCGAUCAUCAUAGGACUACUCCUCUCAUCUACCGAAGUUGAUAGUCCCAUCUUGGUGCGACCUAGUUCCUACAAUGAAUGUGCUACAACCAACUUACACCUUAGAGUUUCGAAUGGCUAGGAGACCAAGUUAUGGUGUAGUUAAACUAUAACACACUCAAGGUAAACUGUCGAUGCACC
rnacentral:lncRNA from 1 species